GUGGUUAACCCAAUGUUACAUGCAUUGGAAAAUAAUAUUGCUAGUGUAACUUGAAUUGGUUUACAAGCUAGCUAGAAAAGCCAGUUCAUUUUCAUCUGUUUUGUCAAGUCAUAAGCAUGCAAACGUGCUGAAAUAUUUAAAUAAAUCCCCUCAUUUAAGUUUUGGCGGGUUUUUUAUCGCCAUUACGCAAAGAGAAAUAAGUUGCUAGUUAUUUUGGCUUUGCAUUUUAAACAGUGAAACACCACAACAGGAAUAAAGAUUGUGGAAAGUGUCAAAUUUGGUAGGACUGUGCCAAUUCACAUGCCUUGCUUUAGCCAUAUCACUCUUACUGUUUCUUGUUUAGUUCAUCCAUAAAAGCAGAUCAGCCUUAGUUGCAUCCAGGAACUUGCAUAAUGUGCUUAUGUUAUGCUUAUACUUGCUUUUUUACUUUGAAAGUCGUCUUAAAAAAGGAAAUUGUAAUAGAUGUUUGUAGGACCUCUGUCAGUCAAUGAUAACAGUCAUUGGGGUCCACCAGCCCAUCCCCUUUGUUGUAUGCUGAGCAAUCUUGUUAUUCUUUUAAGUCUCAACCAUUCUUUUAGAAACUUGUCUUCCUUUACAAAGGCACUGCAGAGGCUAAGAAGAUGCAUGGAAACUCUAAAAGAAACAUAAUUCAACAUGUAGGCCAGAUUUGAAAAGGAAAUAAUAUAUCCCGAAGCUCAGUGUAAUGGCUCUCGUCGGUGGAAGGAGAGGAGGACCAAAGCGCAGCGUGAUGUCAGACACCGAGGCUGCCUGCACCGCCGUUGAUCAGAACAGACAGCGUAUACUUGACCAAAGCUAUGCUUGGAUACAGGACUGAUGACUCAAUAACCAGUAUUGACAAUAGUGAAGAUGGUUAUGUCCCAGGGCCAUCAGGAUCAUCAGAGGAAGGCAAUUUCUAUGAAGAAAAUCUGACCGGUGUGCCUAUACCUUACAUACACAUGGACCUAUUCUUAAUUACAAUGUCCUUAUCGACAUGUUUUCCACUGAUGUUUUCCAGGAGAGAUGUCAGCGAUUCGGGCCAAACAGCCAAUGACCAAGGGAAAGCUGGGACAAAAAAGAGGCUCACACGGUAAGCAUGUUUCCUCUUGCCUUCAGUCAGUGCAUUUUCACUCUGUAGUGUCAACUAGAUUCCAUACAGAUUGAGUCUGCCUUGAUGUCAGCA